rnacentral:rRNA from 1 species
UCCUAUGACCAAGUCACCAGGAAUGCGUCUGGUCAGAUCUCAGCAGCUAAGCAGGUUCGAGCCUGGAUAGCGCUUGGAUGGGCGACCACCAUACAUACCAGGUGCUGUAGGAU